CUUAAAUUUGUUAAACAAUUUGUUUUGAUAGAAGUUAGUACAAUGCUGAUUUCUGAAAUGACAAAAAAACAUGAUAAAAUAUUUAUAUACAACAAAAAUUUAUAGUCGAUAUAUUUGAGUGUGUACAUAGAACAAUAACGUUAAGUUUGCUCAGUAGACCGUAAAAUCUUUUUCCCCUUUGUUGAAAGAGUAAUGAUAAUAUAAAAUUUCAAUCCUAGUAUCUAUGAUGAUUUUAUUUCAUUAGCCAAUCAAAUUGAAGGACAGGUAACACACGGGGUGGUUGAUACCAGUUGACUAGUUUGUUACCUAUUUUUAAAACAAAAGGUGAUAAAUAAUUACAUUCUACACAAAGCUUAUGUUUUAUUAUUGUAGAACACACUCAAACAAAUCAGUUAUAAUAAUGGCAGCUGAAAUCCAUUGCAUUGGUAUACACUGACUCAUCACAACAGAUGUCAAUACUCAUGAUGUCAAAGUCUAAAUAUGAGGGGCUGUAGGAGGGUUCAAUACUCAUGAUGUCAAAGUCUAAAUAUGAGGGGCUGUAGGAGGGUCAAUACUAAUGAUGUCAAAGUCUAAAUAUAGGGCGUAGGAGGGUUCAAUACUCAUGAUGUCAAAGUCUAAAUAUGAGGGGCUGUAGGAGGGUUCAAUACUCAUGAUGUCAAAGUCUAAAUAUGAGGGGCUGUAGGAGGGUUCAAUACUCAUGAUGUCAAAGUCUAAAUAUGAGGGGCUGUAGGAGGGGGUUCAAUACUCAUGAUGUCAAAGUCUAAAUAUGAGGGUUGUAGGAGGGUUCAAUACUCAUGAUGUCAAAGUCUAAACAUGAGGGGCUGUAGGAGGGUUCAAUACUCAUGAUGUCAAAGUCUAAAUAUGAGGAGGCUGUAUUCUCCAAUUUGACAUUUUGUUAUGUCAACUUUCUCUAUUCUUUAAUUUUUCAUGGUAUUUUUUUCCCCUUUUCAUUUUUUUGCGAUUUCUUCUUUGUUUUUUAUAUUUUAUACCCACUUUUCAAUAAUCUAUAUAUUUUCAGCCCAUUAUUCUCUAUUUUGAAAUCCCCAUCAAGACCUAAUUUGGAUUAUAAGACAAAACAAUACUACAGAUUGCUUGAAUAUUGAACUAAACCACUGUUGUGAUGAUAAUGAUAAAAUACCCUACUGUUGCAUUGAUAAUAUAAUAAAUUGCAUUGAUUGAAACUCAAAUAACAUAUUAAUACACAUAAAAUCAUAAACAUAUUCACUAACAUGCAGACAAAAUGAAAUUAAAAAAUAAUUGUUUCUCUUUAAAAAUAUAUCUUUUUGUCAAUACACCUUGAAAACAUGCCUAAUACAACCGCUACAUGGCACUACAAUUAAUUCGUAUAAGAAAGUUUUACAAGGAUUAUGAAAAUUAACAGUGGCGGAUCCAGGGGGGGUGUUCUGGGGGUUGAAACCUCACUUUUUUUGGACGAUCAAUGCAUUUAAAUUGGGACAUGUUUUUGGAACGCCCCUUUGUCCUGGGUUGGGAACCCCCUUUUUAAAAUGGCUGGAUCCGCCCCUGAUUAAUAUGACAUCUUUCAGUUACAAGUGAAUUAAUUAUAUUUUGUAAAGCAAGUUAGUUUUUGAAUUAAAAUUUUGAAUCAUUUGAAUUAUCUAAGCUGUUUUGUUUAAGGAGAUCUGAUAAUUUCACAUAUGUUUUGUUGUAAAUUUUUAUUUAAAUCUUUCAUAGUAAAGAAAUAUAUCUCCAACACAAACUAUAAAUCUUGAACAUGUUGCCAUAUGAAGAUUGGAUGUUUUUCACUGUAGGUUUUCUUUAAAAAUUUACAGUAUGGUGAAUAUCUACUACGACAACUAAAUUUAAACAAUAUGGACUGUUCCC
rnacentral:lncRNA from 1 species